rnacentral:rRNA from 1 species
AUUGAACGCUGGCGGCAGGCCUAACACAUGCAAGUCGAGCGGCUGCAGGGAGCUUGCUCCCGGAUUCCGCGGCCGACGGGCGCGUAAUGCCUUGGCACGUGCCUGGUCGUGGGGGCUACCGUCCGGAAACGGGCGCUAAUACGGCAUACGUCCUGUGGGAGCAAGUGGGGGAUUUUCGGACCUCACGCUAUCAGAUGAGCCUAGGUUGGAGUAGCUAGUUGGUGGGGUAACGGCAUAGCAAGGCGCCGAUCCGUCACGGGUCUGAGAGGAUGGUCAGUCACACUGGAACUGAGACGCGGUCCAGACUCCAACGGGAGGCGGGGGUGGGGAAUAGUAGACAAUGGGCGGAGCCCUAAUCCGACCAUGCCGCGUGGGGGAAGAAGGUCUUCGGAUUGGAAAUCACUUUAGGUUGGAAGGAAGGACAGUAAGGUAAUACCGUGCUUUUUUGACGUUACCAACAGAAUAAGCACCGGCUAACUUCGUG